AAUCCAUGGUGAGGACACCUUCUCAAAAAAUCCUUGAAUCUCUCCCAUGUAUCCUAAAGAGUCUUAAUAUCAAACUGAACAAAGGAAGAGAUGUCAUUCCUCAACUU
rfam:Gossypium hirsutum cultivar TM-1 chromosome 24, whole genome shotgun sequence